CUCUUAUACAGACUGUCGGUAUCCAGUAACACGAAGUUGGUGCGCGUACCAUUCUAUCGAGCAGCCGUUCGGCGGGGGUUAUUGUUUGGAUCGCAAAGCAGUCCUGCGUUGGGAGGUCGACACUAGGACCACAACAGACAUGGAUGCACACUUACUGCUGCUGUUUUUGCUGUGCUCAGCUACGGUAGCUGCUGCGGAUUCGGAUGACGGCUCAAGUGUGUCUACAGGGACAUCCGUGGGCAGUAGUGUAGCAGGCUUCUUCGUGUUCUGCUGCGUCGUGUACUGCAUAUGGCGUUUCUGUUGCGCUCGAUGCCGAAGCACAACGGUGGUCGUCCCGCAAGCAGCAUCGGCCGCUCCUACUGUGGUUGUGGCCCCCACCAUCAUGACUCCUCCGGCACAGAACACGGUGGUUAACAACAUGAUGUCGUAAGGGUUGCUUCGAACGAGUUAUCCUGCAUCGUGGGACUGCCUUGGUCAGAUGAAACUUCUAUACCACCGCAAAAGAAUGUUCGCGAAAAGAAGGAAAACAAAGACGAAGAAGAUGUUGUACACGCCAUGUAACGGAACUGCAUAAACAUCUCAUUAUCACCUAUUAAAAAAGUCAAAUUUUAAAA